AACCUGACCAGUGAUGGUUCUUCUGCCAGCCUGCCGCCAUGGGAUUGCUCUGUAUAAGAAGACAGGUGCAUUCUGGAAACUUGAAUCACUAAGGGGAGGAGCUUCAAUUUUGAUCCCAGAUAUGCUUUAAACUGUCUUCAGCUUGUAGGUGGGGUUCUGCUGGGGACCUGCCCCUAUCUGCCUAGGCAUUUGGCUGCCUCCUGUCACUAUCACUACCAACAUGUAAUAGCUCACCAAAAUGUUGUAUUUCAACUGGGCAGAUAAAACAGAUGCUAAUAACCUCAAGAGAAGAAUGUUCCUUACAGAAGAAGGAAUAUUUCCCAACUCAUUUAAUGAGGCCAACAUUAUUCUGAUACCAAAACUAUACAAAAGCAUUACAAGGAAAGAGAACUAC
ensembl:lncRNA novel transcript